UGCUAGUUCGGCGAUGUCGCUCUUCGGU
rnacentral:piRNA from 1 species